rnacentral:snRNA from 1 species
AGAUGUGAGGGCGAUCUGGCUGCAACAUCUGUCACCCCAUUGAUCGCCAGGGUUGAUUCGGCUGAUCUGGCUGGCUAGGCGGAUGUCCCCUUUCCUCCCCUCACUGCUCCAUGUGCAUCCCUCCCGAAGCUGCGCACUUGGUCGAAGAGGCUGACUAUCCCCGAUAGAGGAGUGUCCUUCUUGGUCAAGGGUAUAUGAGUAGCUGCACUCCCCUGCUAGAACCUCCACACAAGCUCUCAAAGUGAAAAUUGAGUAAAAAAUCAGGUAAAUAAUUUUGCCCCCAAACAUAGGCUUAGAAAUAAUAUUAUUGA